AUGCUGGGCUGGUGUGAAGCAAUAGCCUGUAAUCCUCGCAGGAUUCCUAACACCACUAGGACCCCAGAGGGCUCAGAAGAGUGGGCUGAUACCUCGCAAGCCUCCACACUGAAUGACAAAUCCCCAAGGCGAUCUGCAAGUCGAUCAAGUAAUAUUUCAAAAGCCAGCAGUCCAACAACUGGGACAGCUCCCAGGAGCCAGUCAAGGUUGUCUGUCUGUCCAUCCACUCAGGACAUCUGCAGAUCUGCCAUCUCACAUGACAUGUCAGGAGCCUCACUUGAGCACAGCACCUCUGUCACAGUGCUGAACCCUGCUAGGCAGGAGCCUGGUAAGAAACCAGUAACACAGAAGUCUAGGAGGAGGAGGCGGGCAUCUCAGAGGUACGAGCAUGCCCAAGAACAGGGGAGAGGGAGAAGAAGCGACUUUCACCUCCACGUUCCCAGCCCCCGAUACAGUGAGACCGACACAGAUUCUUCAGACUCAUCUUCCACCCGUGAGAGUCACUGGAUUCAAGCAAAGAGAAGAGCCCAAGUGAAGUUCCGCCUGUCGCGGAGAAGAAGGAGAAAUAACAAAACAAGCGGAAACCUGGAUGAGUCUUCUGCUCCUAAUGAAAUCAAUCCAGUACAUUUGAGAUCCAAAGAUAGAAAGCACACGGAGCUGACCAGCUGUGAGAGCUGCUCUUUAAACCUGCACAGAGCAAAAGGCACAACGUAUGAAGGAUGUGGUGUCUCCCUGUCGAGAGGGUCCUCUGAGAGUAAAAGACCCUCAAGGAAGCAACAGGAGAGCAGAGGUGGGGACCACCACAGGGAUCCUCAACUCCUACAUUGGUGUGGGCAAAAUGAAACAACAAUCAAGAGAAGAUUUUCGGGGACAGAUUCCAGCACUGAAAUGCUGGCGGUCAAAGGUGGCAAGUCUGCUGGUGAUGCGGGGUUCCAGGAGCCUCCUGCCACGGACCAUGACGGGUCUGAUCAUUUACAAGCAUGCAGGAUCUGUCACUGCGAAGGGGACGAGGAGAGCCCGCUCAUCACGCCCUGCCGCUGCACAGGCACCCUACGCUUCGUGCACCAGGCCUGUCUGCACCAGUGGAUCAAGAGCUCUGACACACGCUGCUGUGAGCUGUGCAAGUAUGACUUCAUCAUGGAGACCAAGCUCAAGCCUCUGCGGAAGUGGGAGAAACUGCAGAUGACCACAAGCGAAAGGAGGAAAAUCUUCUGCUCUGUCACUUUCCAUGUCAUUGCCAUCACCUGCGUGGUCUGGUCCUUGUACGUGCUGAUAGAUCGGACAGCAGAGGAGAUCAAGCAGGGAAAUGAUAAUGGUGUCCUCGAAUGGCCAUUUUGGACAAAGCUGGUUGUGGUGGCCAUCGGCUUCACAGGAGGUCUGGUCUUCAUGUAUGUACAGUGCAAGGUCUACGUGCAGCUGUGGCGCAGGCUGAAGGCCUACAACCGCGUGAUCUUCGUGCAGAACUGCCCAGACACCGCCAAGAGGGCGGAGAAGAACCGCUCUUGCACCGUGAGCAUGGACACCAAGGACGCUGGGGCGGUGCCCGCACUGCAGACAGGGACCACCGCACGGCCGCCAGCGGAGGCUGGCCCCACUGAGCUCAUACCCGUGUGA
rnacentral:lncRNA from 1 species